rnacentral:rRNA from 1 species
UACAGAGGUCUCAACCGUUGUUCGGAUUCAUUGGGCGUAAAGGGUGCGUAGGUGGUGAGGUAAGUCGGAUGUGAAAUCUCCGGGCUCAACCCGGAAACUGCAUUGGAAACUACCUUGCUUGAGGAUUUGAGGGGGGAUUGGAAUACUUGGUGUAGCAGUGAAAUGCGUAGAUAUCAAGUGGAACACCAGUGGCGAAGGCGAAUCCCUGGAAAAUACCUGACACUGAGGCACGAAAGCUAGGGGAGCAAACAGG